CUUUGCCUACGGGGCGCAGCAGCGAGGAAUGUUGGUCAAUGGACGCAAGUCUGAACCAGCCAAGUAGCGUGCAGGAUGACGGCCCUCCGGGUUGUAAACUGCUUUUAGUUGGGAAUAAACGGGGGCUCGUGAGCCCCGUAUUGUAUGUACCAUCAGAAAAAGGACCGGCUAAUUCCGUGCCAGCAUCCGCGGUAAUACGGAAGGUCCGGGCGUUAUCCGGAUUUAUUGGGUUUAAAGGGAGCGUAGGCCGGCUUUUAAGUCAGCUGUGAACGUCCGCGGCUCAACCGUGGAAUUGCAGUUGCAAC
rnacentral:rRNA from 1 species